CCUACGUGUGGCAGCAGUGGGGAAUAUUGGGCAAUGGGCGCAAGCCUGACCCAGCAACGCCGCGUGAAGGAAGAAGGCUUUCGGGUUGUAAACUUCUUUUGACAGGGAAGAGCAGAAGACGGUACCUGUCGAAUAAGCCACGGCUAACUACGUGCCAGCAGCCGCGGUAAUACGGGGGAUGCAAGCGUUAUCCGGAUUUAUUGGGUUUAAAGGGUGCGUAGGUUGUGAGGUAAGUCAGCGGUGAAAUGCCCCCGCUCAACGGGGUGAAGUGCCAUUGAUACUGCCUUGCUGGAAUGCGGAUGCCGUGGGAGGAAUGUGUGGUGUAGCGGUGAAAUGCAUAGAUAUCACACAGAACACCGAUUGCGAAGGCAGCGUGCCGUGCCGCCACUGACGCUGAGGCACGAAAGCGCGGGGAUCGAACAGGAUUAGAUACCCCAGUAGUC
rnacentral:rRNA from 1 species